rnacentral:rRNA from 1 species
GUUGAACGCUGGCGGCAUGCCUUACACAUGCAAGUCGAACGGCAGCACGGGAGUAAUCCUGGUGGCGAGUGGCGAACGGGUGAGUAAUAUAUCGGAACGUGCCCAGUCGUGGGGGAUAACGCAGCGAAAGCUGUGCUAAUACCGCAUACGAUCUAUGGAUGAAAGCGGGGGAUCGCAAGACCUCGCGCGAUUGGAGCGGCCGAUAUCAGAUUAGCUAGUUGGUGAGGUAAAGGCUCACCAAGGCGACGAUCUGUAGCUGGUCUGAGAGGACGACCAGCCAAACUGGACCGGAGACACGGUCCAGACCCCUACGGGAGGCAGAAGUGGGGAAUUUUGGACAAUGGGCGAAAGCCUGAUCAAGAAAUGCCGCGUGCAGGAUGAAGGCCUUCGGUUUGUAAACUGCUUUUGUACGGAACGAAACGGUGAGCUCUAAUACAGUUUGCUAAUGACGGUACCGUAAGAAUAAGCACCGGCUAACUACGUGCCAGCCGCCGCCGUAA